UUUGAAUAUUCCAAAGUAAAAAUUUUGGGUUGGGAGGGAGAGGGAGGGAGGGAAGGUCCAGGAGGGCGAUCCCUCAACCCAUAAUUUUUUCAAAUCUAAAGGCUAAAUCUUUCUUCUCAGCGCAAUAUGGCAUUUCAUGUCGCCUGCCCAAUUACUUGCCGGCGAAUCUGCGACUGUGCGUUAGGGUUUCCGCGAACCCUCGCCACCGGCAAUGCCAAGGCCUCGUUCCUCGAAGACGUGCUUCGAGUUCACGACUUUCUCAUCGAUCCCUCCGGAAUUAGGGCUCGCGAUGAUGGCAAAACGGUCCAGGUCGCCGUUCCGAAGGUCGCCCCGCCGCCGCCGCCGCUUCCCCAGCCGGUUAUGUCUUCUGCCGUCGGAGAUAGUUACGCCGCUGCCGUUGUUGACGAUGAGUCCGCCGCCGCCGCCUCCUCCCAGGCCAAGCGUGCCGCGCUCCAGCGCAAGGCUGCUGCGGAUAUGGUGGCGGCUGAGGACUUUGCUCGGCGAUUCGAGUCUGGUUAUUUGUCGGACACCUCAAGAGGUGGUGUGGGUGAAGAGCAGGCUCAGUCCAAUGUGAAUGUUAUGUGCCGGAUAUGCUUUUGUGGUGAAAAUGAAGGAAGUGAGAGAGCAAGAAAAAUGCUUCCAUGCAAAACUUGUGGCAAGAAGUACCACAGGAACUGCGUAAAAGUUUGGUCUAAACACAGAGAUCUAUUUCAUUGGAGUUCAUGGACGUGCCCCCUGUGCCGAAUUUGUGAGGUAUGCCGAAGAACUGGAGAUCCAAAUAAGCUUAUGUUCUGCAAAAGGUGUGAUGGCGCCUACCAUUGUUACUGCCAACAUCCUUCACACAAGAAUGUUUCUCCUGGACCUUAUGUGUGCCCGAAACAUACACAGUGUCACAGCUGCGGGUCAAAAGUCCCCGGAAAUGGCUUGAGCGUGAGAUGGUUUCUGGGAUACACUUGUUGUGAUGCGUGUGGAAGAUUAUUUGUGAAGGGGAACUAUUGUCCUGUGUGCUUGAAGGUUUAUAGAGAUUCAGAAUCAACACCAAUGGUUUGCUGUGAUCUUUGCCAGCGCUGGGUGCAUUGUCAUUGUGAUGGAAUCAGUGAUGAGAGAUAUCAGCUGUAUCAGUUAGAUGGAAAUCUUGAGUACAAAUGUGCUACAUGUCGUGGAGAAUGCUACCAGGUCAAGAAUAAUGAGGAUGCUGUGGUAGAGCUUUGGAGGAGAAAAGACGAAGCGGAGCAAGAUUUAAUUUUUAGCUUGAGGGUUGCUGCAGGGUUGCCAACUCAAGAAGAAAUAUUUUCUAUUUCACCCUAUUCCGAUGAUGAAGAAAACAGCCCUCAAUUAUUAAAGAAUGAGUAUGGGCGUCCGUUGAAAUUAUCUCUCAAGGGGUUAGUUGAUAAGUCACAAAAAAAGACCAAGGACAGUGGGAAAAAAUCUUCAAAUAAAGUGUCUGCUAAGAAAAAGGAAUACCAGGAGUUCUUUGUUGGUAAAACUGAAGUGAUUCAGAGGUCUGGAGGACAUGAUGAUCCUCAGUCCUUCGGAUCUAGCUUGGGCUAUGACAAGAAUGAUGAGAUGCAGCCCUACAAAAAUGCAGAAUUAGACUUAUAUUCUUCGCCUAUAGCUGGAAGUAUUAGCCACACCGAAGAGAUGUGCUCCGUCAAUAAGCCAGGUAUUUUGAAGCACAAGUUUGUUGAUGAGGUGAUGGCAAGUGAUGAAGAUAGGGCUUCCAAAGUCGUUCAUAUCAAGGGUAAGUCUCAUGGUCUGGAUAGUGGAGAGGAUACUGGAAAGCAUGCUGGCAAAUCAAAGCCUGUUAAAGGGAAGAAGUUAGUGAUAAAUUUUGGUGCACGGAAGAUAAAUUUGCCCAAGUCUCCAAUAUCUGAUGCUUCAACCUGUCAAAGAGAGCAAGAUUUGUUGACUUCCAAUGCCGGUGAAGAUGCCAGCCAGCAGAGAGCACCUGUUAUGGUGGAUAGACAUGAUGGUUCGGUUAAUGCUAAAGAUAAAAGUGAUUAUUCUAGCCCUUUGAAAGUUCCAAAGGUUUCUGGGAGAGAAGGAAACUUUAUAAAGUUGGGAAAAGUUAGGUCUGGAGCUUCUGAUCAUAACCCCAAAUUUGCAAGAGGGGAUAAGGCUGAUGAAUAUGAAGCCAUUCAACCUGAGCAGACACCUGUUUCGUUUGGAAAAGGCAUUGAAGGAGGCACGACUGCAGCUGUGCCUGUAGGUGAAGUCCCGACUUUAAGAAAUGACAGGGUAUAUUCCCGGAAGCAUUCACAUAGCAGGUCUAAUAUACGUACUGAAACCAAUGAUUCUUACGCUCAGACACCCGUGUCACAUUCUUCGUCAAAAGAUGCCAAACCUCCGUCAUUGAAGUUUAAGCUCAAGAAGCCUAAUAUUGAAAAUCAGAAUUCUUCUCAUCAUGAGGAAGAAAAAAGUUACGUCAAGGGCCAGCGGUCAAAAAGAAAGAGAGCAUCACCGUUUAUGGAGAAGACAUCAUUUGGUGAGAAUGAUGACAAGACACAAUCAGUUCAGGAUAAUGUAAUGGAUGAGAUGGAUGUUAACUGGAUAUUGAAAAAAUUGGGCAGAGAUGCAAUUGGAAAGCGAGUUGAAGUUCAGCAGCUAUCUGACAAUUCAUGGCAUAAGGGAGUGGUUAGCGAUGUUAUUGAAGGCAUGUCAACAUUAUCUGUUACUUUAGAUGAUGGCAAAGUCAAAUCUCUGGAACUCGGGAAGCAAGGGGUUCGAUUUGUAUCUCAAAAGCAUAAGAGGCCAAGAACAUGAGGGCUGUACGUACACACAACUUGAUGUUUGUGUUGAUCUCAUCUGUAGGCUUUCUUCCAGAUUAAGAUGGAAAGGAAGUUGUCUGCCUCUGAAAAGGCGGAAGAGAUAACAUGUUGUAGCAUAUCCAUUGGCUUGUAUCUGUGCUCACAUUCUUUCGGACUUGAGACUGGAUUGUAUGUGCAGGGCUGUUCAGUUUCAUCGGUCGUGAAGAAUGGGUUCUGGUGAACCGGGGUAAAUUCUGAGAUGUGUUUUACCAUCUUUGAAAGUAUGAAUGCUUCCGGCAUUACUUUGAUGACUGAAAUUUGUUCAGCAAUUAGAAAGCAUCCCAUCCUCAAGUCAUUGUUCGUGCAGAUCGGGGUGCCUCGUAACUGACUACGCCCGAGCAGGAGUCGAUUUUGGUGGCACCAUCAAUUAGUUGUGAAACUGUAAAUCCCACGCCUGACGAACUUGAUAAGUUCUGGAAACUUGCAGGGGUGAACGGCGAAAUCGAGACUACUUCAAACGAGGUUAGAAUAAAGAUGAAUGAAGGAGGGUUGUGCUUGCUUUUCUGUGGAAUAUUUCGCAUCCUAAAGUUCCUUAGAAGGAGGGGCAAUACAAGUUGAAAAUGUUAAGUGGAUAACUUUGGGUCUGUGAUCCCAAACACAGGAUCACAGACCCGGUACGAUAACUCAGGGACCCCGAACCAAAGUUUUGCAUGAGAGACCUUGAACCCUGCUACCAAGUUUACCGGAUAGCGAGUUUGAUAAACAGUACAAAUUUUCAACAAGAAACUCCGUUCCAAAGCAGUAUUCGCAAUCAUUUCUCAACUAUGAAGUAUGAAGAUGAAGUAAUGUAACUAAGAAACUAACGUGAGAGUGAUUUCUUUCGAAAACCUUUCGACAGAUUAAACUAUACAGGUGGAGGUGGCAAGUCCAGCAGAAGCCAAAAUCCGACACAAUCAUCACCGUCCAAGUCCCCCUGGAUUGCAAGGAAGUGCAAGCCUCCACAAUCCUUCUUUGCUGCUUCCCAAGCUUCGGCUUCACUUCUUGUUUCAGGAGUUUUAUUGUAGGUGGCGUAAAUAUAUCGGCCAGAGAUCCCGACAGAAAGUAGCAAGCGUGCCCGUGACAAAUCGACUUCAAUAGAGCAAACUUCCAACCCAUUCAUCCAAGCUGCAGCACCAUAUAGCAAGAUGUGAUCAGAUCCUUGAUUGUUAGAGGAACAACACAAAAUUGUACAAGACGCAAUAGGAAUGAGAGCGGACUUAUGGAAAAUGUAUCACAAGAAGAUACUGUUAUCUUGUCGAUCCACUCGCCCAACAGUUCAUAUUAGCAAUCCAAUGACACAAAACGCUAUCUGUGUAUCGAUAUGUGCAAGUAAAUAUGCAUAAGAAGAAAGAAGACGACAGUCCGAGAGAAUAAACACCUGCUAGCGGUUUUGCACGUGAAGAUGCAACAGCCAAUCCUGGAAUCAAUGUCUUCUCGUCAAUUUCAAUCCCCAACAAAUCCAGAUCUAGACUUGCGCCAAACACGAGGUUCGUGUCUAAGGAUGAGAUUUCCUCUUGAACAGCUGAAACAGGAAGUAGAAUUAGCAAGGGCACAUGAAAUGUUACUGGAAGAAUAAGGCAGGUCAGAGAAUGUGACUUGUUAUAUUUGUUGAAACGUCGCUAUUAGCAAGUUCUUUACCUGAAAAGGGCAACUGAACAAAGGCCCAUUUCUCGCCAACAAGAUUUUCCGGAAGUUCCAUUGGGAAAGGGUUAUCCAAUGCCAGGAGCGGCUUAGAUCCUUUCUGGAAACCAGGAUGGCGUGUGUAUACUGUCUCGUAGCGUUCUUCCAACCACAAAAGCAGCGAUAGGCACUGAAAAAAGCAAUGUUUUAAGACAAUAAGCAGACAGAGAGAAGCAGUUGCACCAGAAACUCAAAGAAAAAGCUUCAUUGCUAACUGAUGACAGUGUUUCAAAGUCAUGCAACUUCUGCAUCUGCGGUAGCAUCGCGAUAGUUCAAUGUCACAUACUUCUGUACAGUACAACCGUGUUUAUUUCCGGUGAUAAUUUACGUAACAGAAAACAACCAACCACAAUUUUCCAAAACAGAAAUCUUUAACUCUGUAGUGGCCCUCUAAAUUCUCUAGGCUAUUAGCUUAACUUUCUUAAGUUACUUGAUCAGUUGUGUGGUUGAAAACCUG